GACGAACGCUGGCGGCGUGCCUAAUACAUGCAAGUCGAACGCUUUUUCUUUCACCGGAGCUUGCUCCAUCGAAAGAAAAAGAGUGGCGAACGGGUGAGUAACACGUGGGUAACCUGCCCAUCAGAAGGGGAUAACACUUGGAAACAGGUGCUAAUACCGUAUAACACUAUUUUCCGCAUGGAAGAAAGUUGAAAGGCGUUUUUUCGUCACUGAUGGAUGGACCCGGGGUGCAUUAGCUAGUUGGUGAGGUAACGGCCCACCAAGGCAACGAUGCAUAGCGGACCUGAGAGGGUGAUCGGCCACACUGGGACUGAGACACUGCCCAGACUCCUACGGGAGGCAGCAGUAGGGAAUCUUCGGCAAUGGACGAAAGUCUGACCGAGCAACGCCGCGUGAGUGAAGAAGGUUUUCGGAUCGUAAAACUCUGUUGUUAGAGAAGAAUAAGGAUGAGAGUAAAAUGUUCAUCCCUUGACGGUAUCUAACCAGAAAGCCACGGCUAACUACGUGCCAGCCGCCGCUGUAA
rnacentral:rRNA from 1 species